UCCCUGGUGGCUCAGACGGUAAAGCGUCUGCCUGCAAUGCAGGAGACCCGGGUUCGAUCCCUGGGUCGGGAA
rfam:TPA: Bos taurus chromosome 9, whole genome shotgun sequence.